GGGGUUGUGGCUCAGUGGUACAGUGUUUGCCUAGCAUGCAUAAGGCACUGGGUUCGAUCCUCAGCAUCACAU
rnacentral:tRNA from 1 species